UAGCGGAAGUGGCGUGGUCUCCUCUUUCCCGGUGUUGUGUUGAUUUGACAAAAAUGUACCCCAACAAUUAGACGUUGGGGUUAAUGUAAAAGAACGAGACAACAUUACUGCUCGACCCGAACAGCUUAAAGUCAAAGCCACUCGCUCAUCUCUGCGCUUGACAGCCUGUAGCUGCACCCGCAAUCUUGCUGCUGCUCCUGCCGGCUCUGGCAGCCCCGGGCGAGCUGACUGUAACCCACAAGCGAUCAUCCUGUCAGAUCAAGCCUGGCUCCACGCCCCCAGGGACCAGACUUGCCUCCCAAACACGGACAACCGCUCCAAGGCUGCUAUGCUAACCUUGGUCAAACGCAGUCCUCCAUAAUGCCCUUUACUCUGUUGGAGCUGGUGACGCUGUCUUGCUGCCUGAGGGACGCAUGCCUCUGCAUCAUCCAGCUGGCCUACCCAGAGACCAAAACGGAACACCGCGAAGAGUAUAUGGCGGACUUCCACAGGGUCAUCACUAACUUGGUGAAAAUGCUGAAAGCUUGCGACAUCAGAUGACCCUUCUGUCCAGCUGAUCAUUGGUGGUCCGAGGAAGUCAACAUUCGAGCAGAUAAGGUCACCCAGCUAUACGUGCCUUCUGCGAGACAUGUGUGGCGAACACAAAGGAUGGGCAGGAUUGGACCGCUUCAGUCUACACUGGAUGUGGACUCGGAGCCUCCCCAGCUGUCGGCGGGGAGACAUCUGGACAUCCUGACAAAGCUCCUUUGCGGGUCAAGAACCAGACUUGAAGAAAAUAAUUAGGGUCCACCUGCUGAACGCUCAUGGUGUAGAUGAGGCGGAUAUCGACGGAGGCGGUAUCUUUCUCCUCAAUGAGCUCCUCAAGUCAGGCUUCAACCCCAACCAGGGCGUCUUCAAGACCACCAACGAGGGCUUGCUGUAUCCCAACCCCGCCGCCAAGAUGCUGGUGGGAGAAUCCUUCACGCGACACUAACACUUCCUGGGCAGGAUCCUGGGAAAGGUGGUGGAGCUGAAGACGGGGGUUAAAGACCUCGACUACAGCCUCAACAAGCAGAUUCGGCCACGCUGCCUGGCUUUCAGGCAGGGUCGAGCCAACUUGGUCAACCUUCAGUGGCUGCGCAUGUUUGACCACGUUCUCUGCUGGGCUUUAAGGUAUGACCUCCAAAGUGUCUUCUCUUUGUGUAGCUGUCCUCUUAAGUCGGGGGUCGGCAACUUUACUCCCUGGAGCUUUUUCUAAAAUAUAUAAAAAUGGAAAAAUAUGGGGGGGAAAAUAUAUUUUUGUUUUCAUAUGGUUUCUUUAGGAGGACAAACAUGACACAAACCUUUCUAUUUGUUAUUUUAACAUGCUUCACUGAUGAGAGUAUUUGGCAAGCGCCUUUUUGUCCUACUAAUUUCGGCGGUCCUUGAACUCACCGUAGUUUGUUUACAUGUACAACUUUCUCAGACGCUGCCACAGAAAGACGUGUUUUAUGCCACUCCUUCUUUGUCUUAUUUUGUCCACCAAACUUUUUAUGCUGUGCGUGAAUGCACAAAGGUGAGCUUUUUUCCUCGGACUCAGUCUGGACCAUUCCUGAGGGUCCAGCCUCAGACUGAUAUUUUUUUUUACUUCCCCCCUUCCCCGAUGUCACCUUUUUCCCACCUUUUUAAGGAGCGCCUAAGUGAGGCUGAUCCGUUGGCGGUCCCGUCUUGUCUCCCUGUAACGUAU